GCAGGCUGCAACCCGCCUGCAUGAAGCCGGAAUCGCUAGUAAUCGCGGAUCAGAAUGCCGCGGUGAAUACGUUCCCGGGUCUUGUACACACCGCCCGUCACACCAUGGGAGUCGGGAAUGCCCGAAGUCAGUGGCCCAACCGGAAGGGGGGAGCUGCCGAAGGCAGGCCCGGUGACUGGGGUGAAGUCGUAACAAGGUACC
rnacentral:rRNA from 1 species